rnacentral:rRNA from 1 species
UCGCAAAUUACCCACUCUCAGAACAAUUUGAGGAGGUAGUGACGAGAAAUAACGAGACCGUUCUCAACAGAGGCCGGUCAUCGGAAUGGGUACAAUUUAAACCCUUUAACGAGUAUCUAUGAGAGGGCAAGUCUGGUGCCAGCAGCCGCGGUAAUUCCAGCUCUCAAAAUGCAUAGAAUUAUUGCUGCGGUUAAAAAGCUCGUAGUUGGAUCUGUGCCGACAGACUGGUCCAUCUUCGGAUGCGUACUGGUUAUUGUCGGCUUUCCUGCAGUUUUGCGGCUCAGUGCCUCUCACGGGGUGCAGUGUCCGUUGCUGCAAGUUUACUUUGAACAAAUCAGAGUGCUCUAAACAGGCGUUUCGCUUGAAUGUUCGUGCAUGGAAUAAUAGAAGAGGAUUUCGGUUCUAUUUUAUUGGUUUUAUAGACUGAGAUAAUGGUUAACAGAGACAAACGGGGGCAUUCGUAUUGCUACGUGAGAGGUGAAAUUCUUGGACCGUAGCAAGACGAACUACAGCGAAAGCAUUUGCCAAGAAUGUCUUCAUUAAUCAAGAACGAAAGUCAGAGGUUCGAAGGCGAUCAGAUACCGCCCUAGUUCUGACCGUAAACGAUGCCAACUAGCGAUCCGGUGGUGGUUUUACCGCCUUGCCGGGGAGCUUCCCGGAAACGAAAGACUUCCGGUUCCGGGGGUAGUAUGGUUGCAAAGCUGAAACUUAAGGAAUUGACGGAAUCGCACCACCAGGAGUGGAGCCUGCGGCUUAAUUUGACUA